UACGUAGGGGGCUAGCGUUGUCCGGAUUUACUGGGCGUAAAGGGUGAGUAGGCGGUAAUGUAUGUCAGGUGUAAAAGGCACAGGCUUAACUUGUGUAAGCACUUGAAACUGCAUUACUUGAGUGCAGGAGAGGUAAGUGGAAUUCCUAGUGUAGCGGUGAAAUGCGUAGAUAUUAGGAGGGACACCAGUGGCGAAGGCGACUUACUGGACUGUAACUGACACUGAGGCACGAAAGCGUGGGGAGCAAACA
rnacentral:rRNA from 1 species